rnacentral:rRNA from 1 species
AUUGAACGCUGGCGGCAUGCCUUACACAUGCAAGUCGAACGGCAGCACGGGAGCAAUCCUGGUGGCGAGUGGCGAACGGGUGAGUAAUAUAUCGGAACGUGCCCGGUCGUGGGGAUAACGUAGCGAAAGCUACGCUAAUACCGCAUACGAUCUACGGAUGAAAGCGGGGGAUCGCAAGACCUCGCGCGAUUGGAGCGGCCGAUAUCAGAUUAGGUAGUUGGUGAGGUAAAGGCUCACCAAGCCGACGAUCUGUAGCUGGUCUGAGAGGACGACCAGCCACACUGGGACUGAGACACGGCCCAGACUCCUACGGGAGGCAGCAGUGGGGAAUUUUGGACAAUGGGGCGCAAGCCUGAUCCAGCAAUGCCGCGUGCAGGAUGAAGGCC